rnacentral:rRNA from 1 species
GCGGUGGAGCAUGUGGUUUAAUUCGACGACAACGCGAAGAACCUUACCAGGGUCUUGACACUCCCUGACCGCGUAUGAAAGUACGUUUUCACCUCGGGUGACAGGGAGACAGGUGGUGCAUGGUUGUCGUCAGCUCGUGUCGUGAGAUGUUGGGUUAAGUCCCGCAACGAGCGCAACCCCUACGUUUAGUUGCUAACGCGUGAAGGCGAGCACUCUAGACGAACUGCCGUUGACAAAACGGAGGAAGUGGGGAUGACGUCAAAUCAUCAUGCCCCUUAUGUUCUGGGCUACACACGUGCUACAAUGGCCGGUACAGACGGACGCAAAGCCGCGAGGUGGAGCAAAUCCUAAAAAGCCGGUCUCAGUUCGGAUUGCAGGCUGCAAUUCGCCUGCAUGAAGUCGGAAUCGCUAGUAAUCGCAGGUCAGCAUACUGCGGUGAAUACGUUCCCGGGCCUU